UUCAGCAGCUCAGUGACAAGGCAGGGACCACUGUUUGGAACAGGACUGUGAAACUAUCCCAGAGGCCGGAGAAACUGUAAUGAGCUGUAAAAUGAAGACUGCCCACCCACCCCCAACACAGCAGCACAGACACUCAAGGGAGAGAACAGGGUUUAUAUCAAAGUCUAGCUUAUUACAGAAUGUUGUGGAAGAACGUGUUGAAAAUGGGAGAUGGUCACUGACUCACCUCACGGCUGGCUGCAGGACUGAAGGGGUGAAGAGGCAACCAGUGCUGAACAAAACAUCUGCAGUCUUCUGUGCUGAGGGGGGACCAUGUGCGAAGCUUCGUAGUGAGUGUUGGCUGUGCAGCCGGUCACUUAACUCACUCAAGCAUGUGGUGCAACUGGAGAGCAGCUGCAGCCAGCUGUUGGUCUGAAGCAAUACGACCUUACAACAUACCCAAGUUCCUGACUGGAGGUGUCGCAACUUCUGGAACUGUCGCCUGAACCCAUGCGCCGCCUUUUUGGAGCUUGACUGCCAUCAUUGGAAA